rnacentral:misc_RNA from 1 species
CAACCCUCGAGCCCUACUUUUUGUAAGAACGGCUCGGCGUUGGGGAUCAGCAACCUUCGCUGUCCCCCAAAACUAUUGGCGGUCCUUUGAGGCGACCUUUGCGUAGUAAAUACACCUCGCACUGGGAAGCUUGGAGUGGCCAUGCCGUAAAACCCCCGACUUUUAUCAA